rnacentral:rRNA from 1 species
UACGGAGGGUGCGAGCGUUAAUCGGAAUUACUGGGCGUAAAGGGUGCGUAGGUGGUAUGGUAAGUUAUCUGUGAAAUCCCUGGGCUCAACCUGGGCAGGUCAGAUAAUACUGCUGUACUCGAGUAUGGGAGAGGGUAGUGGAAUUUCCGGUGUAGCGGUGAAAUGCGUAGAGAUCGGAAGGAACACCAGUGGCGAAGGCGGCUACCUGGCCCAAUACUGACACUGAGGCACGAAAGCGUGGGGAGCAAACAGGAUUAGAUACCCGCGUAGUCC